rnacentral:rRNA from 1 species
UACGUAGGCAGCAAGCGUUGUUCGGAAUUACUGGGCGUAAAGAGUGUGUAGGCGGUGUCGUAAGUUUGGCGUGAAAUCUCCCGGCUUAACUGGGAGGGUGCGCCGAAGACUGCGAUGCUUGAGGAUUGGAGAGGAAAGUGGAAUUUCUGGUGUAGCGGUGAAAUGCGUAGAUAUCAGAAGGAACACCUGUGGUGUAGACGGCUUUCUGGACAAUUCCUGACGCUGAGGCACGAAAGCGUGGGUAGCAAACAGG